UCCAGACACAUCUGAACAUCUGAAGGAAC
rnacentral:piRNA from 1 species